rnacentral:rRNA from 1 species
GGGGAAUAUUGGACAAUGGGCGAAAGCCUGAUCCAGCCAUGCCGCGUGUGUUAAGAAGGUCUUCGGAUUGUAAAGCACUUUAAGUUGGGAGGAAGGGUUUCUGGCUAAUAUCCAGGAAUUUUGACGGUACCCAAAGAAUAAGCACCGGCUAACUUCGUGCCAGCAGCCGCGGUAAUACGAAGGGUGCAAGCGUUACUCGGAAUUACUGGGCGUAAAGCGUGCGUAGGUGGUUGUUUAAGUCUGUUGUGAAAGCCCUGGGCUCAACCUGGGAAUUGCAGUGGAUACUGGGCGACUAGAGUGUGGUAGAGGGUAGUGGAAUUCCCGGUGUAGCAGUGAAAUGCGUAGAGAUCGGGAGGAACAUCCAUGGCGAAGGCAGCUACCUGGACCAACACUGACACUGAGGCACGAAAGCGUGGGGAGCAAACA